GGGUAUAUAGCUCAAGUGGUAGAGUACAUGCUUAGAAUGCAUGAGGUCCUGGGUUCAAUCCCCAGCAUCUCCU
rnacentral:tRNA from 1 species